GAGGAGGCCGGCAGCGGGGCCGAGCGCCGCAGAGCCGGGGCUGCCGUGGCCUCGAGCCGGCGGGAGGCGCAUCCCCUCGCGGCGCGGUGAUUUCUCAGGACCACCCUCUCCCCUCGAUCACGGAAAUAUUAGUAUUUAUAUUGUACUUUAAACGGAGCAAAAGUUACCGGCUGGAGGCACAGUCCAGCAGAAGAGCCUGCCUUGUCUUCCAGGAGAGCUGGGACAGCCGCUCCUGCAGGACCAGAGCUGCUUUCGAGGUGCAGGAGUGGAAGGUAGCACAAGAAACCCAGCCUGAUCAGCAAUGUAAGGCUCUUUCAAAACUGUGCUUCACUGAUACCAGGAGGAACACAGAUGAGGAGAUGAUGCUAAACGUCACAACUCCAGGAAGCAGUGCCUUAAAAACAUGAAUUGCUCUGCCAUGAAGCUUUGGAUGAAGUUGCAAGGGGGUAAUGCUGGAGUCUGUAGGAGGUUGGGUAAGGGGUGGGAAUCUGCACAGCUCAAGUGGGGGGCCAGCCACUGCGCACUGCAGCCUGGGAAGCGCUACCCAGGCUGCCCCACAGGGAAGAUCUCCAAUACUCAAGCACGAGGUAGAGGAUUGUCCUGCUACCGAAUUCUCCAAAAAUGAGACACACAGGGGCGCCAAAGUCUCAGGAAAAGAAACCUCAGUGUGAGGCUUUUUGCUGCAGAGCUGCUUGUGGGCAGCCUGCUCCCCACAGGAGCAACAGCUCAUCAGCCUUGGCCUGCUUUCAUUUGCAGCCACGCUGGGGCUUCACAGGCCCCUGAACUUGCCUGUAGUAAGCAGGAUAGGUGGCUGCUUGCUGCUUUUAACCCUGCUCCUCUGGCCAGAAGUUCCCAAAGGAGGGGCAAGGUGUGACCGGGUGUAAGGGAUAUCACUUCCUCGGCAGAGCCAGGCAGUGUUUUGUCCUUCUGCCACAAGCGAGGCCAGUGAAAGAGUGAUUCCACCAGCCCUGGGCUGCCAUGAGAUUAUGCAUGUAGAGGACUGCUGUUCCUUCUGUUGCUCUUUGGGAAGAUCACACUGCAUCACCCAGAGCACAACCUAUGGUUUCUCUCACUUCAGCGGUUUUCUUCCACAGCAGUCAGGGAGGCAGGCAACGUAUGCUGGUAUAAAACACCCCAGAAACACAACUGAGUCAAGCAAGCCAGACCCAUGGUACAGGCUGCUGUGGAAAGACCAUGCUGUUCACUGCUUCGUUUUGCUUUGCUCUCUGCUGAGUGAUAUAUCUUAGUGACAAGUUGCUCUAGCCAUGCAGCACUGCUUUUAAUGCCAUAAAGUGUCAUGGGGUGUAGGCAUGUGCUAGGACAAUGGCUAGAGCUAAUGUUAAAGGCUAAAUGUAUUGCAGCUGCAUGCAAGCUGGUCUCGAUUAAAGACUACAGCCUUGGAAGUUUCUUGUUAAAAAAGUCACUUGGAGGGUUUUUUUUUUUUUUUUGUAUAUUAAUAUUGUUAUGGACAUCAGAGCCUCCAACAGUUAUUUUCCAGUAAUAUGUCUUUUUGUAAUUAUUUGACACAUUAAAAUAUAUGCCUUGCAGACAGCAGUUCUAAUGUUAGCUUAAAUAUAUCAAAGUAGAUUUUAUUUAAACCCCACUAUGGAGACUGCCAGGCUUUGUUUCAUAAAUACGUCUUGGAAUUAUUAGGGUGUUUUAUUCAAUGCACUGAAGAAUGCAAUUCCACUUCCAGUGUACCACAUUGUGCCAGGGUGGAUGCAAUGCCCAAGUGUCGUUAGAGAGACACCAAGAGUUCCAAAUGUAGGUGCGGGUGCCCAGGUUUAGAUACCAAAGAGCACAAUUCGGCACCUGAAUGGAAGCAGCCUGUUGCAGAGAGGCCCCAAGCACACACUGCUCCUCCAAAUCUCUCGCUCCUGACAAUGGGAUGCAAUGUCAGCAGCAGCAGGAGGAGCAGAUACUGGUCUAGCGGAUGGUUCUUGGUUUCCUUUCCUUGAUCUUCACCAAACCAGCUGCAAGACCUUGGGGAAAUUCCUUAUCUUCCCCUUGCAUCAAUUCACUUAUCUGUAAAGCAGAUAAACUAAUAACACUGCCUCUCUCAAGGGUUUGUUGAAGCUUAUUAUAGAGUUUGAGAGGGAAGUCAUUAUAAAAAUGACCGCAUUAAUAUGACAUGAAUGUAACAUGAAGGAGCCCCGUUCUGCUCCAUGCCAGUUUGUGGAGCCCUGUUAUUUGCUUUAGCAGAAACAGGGAUUUGGCCUGUACUUAAAUAACUUUCAUUUGUUUUUCUUGCAGCUAAGAGAUAGCAUUAAAAGGAAAGCUCACUCCUGCCUAUGUGUAAAUAUUCAGCACCUGAAUAGGUGUUCUUUUGCAGAGCACAGAUUCUGCUUCUUAACACUUUCCAAGGAUGUUAGUACAGACUCUUUCUAAGCUGCUGCAGAUCAGAAGAUACCCCGAAAUUAAUGGAUCAAAAUCCUUCCCAGAUAAGCAUACACAUACAGAAUUUAUUUUACUGAGCAAUUAAAUAUUUAAUAUAAAUAUCCCUGGGGGAGGAGGGUUGUGUGAGGUUUUAUGGCAUAUCUUAUUAUGGGCUCAGUUUUGAAAUCUUAAUCCAAGCAAAACUCGUCAUGUAGAGACUUAGCACUGGAGUGUAACUUGGUGCUUCGUCCUCAGGUCAGUGGAUACUUGCAGUUGCAUCAAUGAUUUUUAGGGCAGGGGGCAGUGAAGAUGGUGAAGCUUUACCCAAAGAAGUGCAGCCCUCUCCAUAAACAAUUAAUUUGGUUUAGCAAUAAUGCUUUGUUCAGGCAAGUCACAUUGGAGGAUACCGUUCUAUGAAUUUCACCUAACAACUUUAGUGAUGAAAAAUUAUAAAAUAAUAAAUGUCAAAUAACAAUUUUGUAUUUGUUUUUCAGUGGCAUGGUCAAUAAAACUGCAAUCUGCUGCAGCUGAGAUUGUUGGCAAAAUAGUUUCCUGUAUUUCAAAUGCAAAAGUCUUUUUGGAGAAUGUGUGAGCAGACAAAAUCACACAGAAAACACUCACAUUUUUUAUGCUCAAGCUGCAAGCGGAACUGUUUUCUUAAAACUAUGUAGGUUUUUUUCCUGUUUAGCAAAUUAAACGUACAAUUAAAAAAAAAAAAGUGAAUAGGGCAGAAUAAUCAAGUAAUUGGAUCUCAGCAUGUUUAUAGUAGCUAGAUUUCUUCUCCUGAAGACAAAAGUGCUUGGUGGCUUUAGCAUGGAUUUAUUGUGCUCUAUAAAAGGGUCAAAUUCCUUGCAAACAUUUGCAUUUGAGACCCUACAACUGUUCCCUGAAUGAUCAAAAAAAGCUGAAGUGCAGAGUUUUACCUCACGGGUGCUCUAUCAUUAGGAUGGAUUUUUAGGAGUUUGUUUUCUGGAGGUGGCAAUGUACUGAGCCCCAAAGGCCCUACGCUGGGAAAGGGGUGUCAGCUGAACUGGAAUGUACCUGCUACAUUUCCAUACAUCUACAGCAUGGGAAUUUGCAGCGUGCGGUUGCUCAUGCAGACACCAAGAAGUCCUCAGCAGAGCUGUUGCAUCCAUACAGCGCUGCGUGCUCAGUUUUCCCUGGGUUUGCUCACUUAGUUGCUUUGGUGUAGUUGGGUUAGUCAAUAAAUAUUAAAUGGGCAGAUGGGGACCCACGUGUGAAGAAAAAAAAAAAAAA